AGCGGGUGUAACUAUGGUAACUUUGUCUUUUUCAAAUCCUCUGCAAUGGAUGUGUUGGAGAACUUAUUCAUGGAUAACUUUCUAGAAGGCUGAAAAUCUUUAUAUUCCAACAAGUAAGACUUUACUUGUAAGAAUGCUAGAGAAUUCAUCAAAGAAUUUGCUAGUUGGAAAAUCUAUAUGUAUGCAUGGCAUGAUUCUAAUUGUAUAAACCCAACGCUUCUUUUUUACAUUUAUGCAAUAGACAUUUUAAGACCUUUUGUUUUAAGUUCUGUUCCCG
rnacentral:misc_RNA from 1 species